CAGUUGGUAGAGCACCUCGUUUACACACCGAGAAGGUCUACGGUUCGAGUCCGUAUAGCCCUAAUCCUAAUAAUAAUAAUCCUA
rnacentral:tRNA from 1 species